rnacentral:rRNA from 1 species
UACGUAGGGUGCAAGCGUUAAUCGGAAUACUGGGCGUAAAGCGUGCGCAGGCGGUUUUGUAAGUCUGUCGUGAAAUCCCCGGGCUCAACCUGGGAAUUGCGAUGGAGACUGCAAGGCUAGAAUCUGGCAGAGGGGGGUAGAAUUCCGACGUGUGAGCAGUGAAAUGCGUAGAGAUAGUGGGAGGAACACCGAUGGCGAAGGCAGCCCC